rnacentral:rRNA from 1 species
UGCGCAGGUGGCCAAGUGUGUGAGGCGUGAAAGCCCGAUGCUCAACAUCGGAAUUGCACCUCAAACUACAUGGCUGGAGCAUUGGAGAGGGUAACGGAAUUCACGGUGUAGCAGUGAAAUGCGUAGAUAUCGUGAGGAACACCAGAGGCGAAGGCGGUUACCUGGACAAUAGCUGACACUCAGGCACGAAAGCGUGGGGAGCAAAAGGGAUUAGAUACCCCUGUAGUCCACGCCCUAAACGGUGCACACUAGGUCUUGGCGGAUUCGACCCCCCCAGGGCCCAAGCUAACGCGUUAAGUGUGCCGCCUGAGGACUACGGCCGCAAGGCUAAA